rnacentral:lncRNA from 1 species
UUGUGGUUAAGUCUUUGAUCUUUGAUUAUGUCAAACGUCAUUCCAUUGGAGUGUCCACGGCAUCGUUAGGGUUAAGCCACUUAGCCAUGGAGGCAAGUGAAUGCGCAACAAGGGAUCUCUAACCUUCAAACUGUUUGAGGGAGAAUACUUUAUGAUAUGAUUUAGAAUCUCUGGCCAGAGUAUGAAUGAGAUUUAGGAAUGCGUUCCAAAUCACAUUCAAGGUA